AUAAAUAUCUCAUUUCGCUAGUAGUGUAUGGGCAAAUUCUACUAGCUAUUCUCAUAAAUAUGUCACUUAUAUGCCAUAUCUAUACAAUUCAUGCACUUUUAUAUGUAUAUUUGCUAUAUUAUACAUUAUUAUGCCUUAUAGGUAUUAUACCUAUAAGCCACAUCCAUACGAUUGCUUAAUAUAAAUAUAUGUAUAAUUUUUUAUACAUAUUUUUUUUUUUAUUUAUGUAUGGUUUUUUUAUUCAUAUCCAUAUACUGUAUUCACUUUUAUAUGGAUAUGAUUGGCGUUUUAUAUAGUAUUGACAAAAUCAUAAGUUUGACCAAUACGAGGAGAGGUCCGCCAACGACCACCUCCCUAUAGGUGUUUUUGGACACGCUGUCUCCCAUUCGACUGCUUACUAUACUAGGGGCUACCCGCUCCGUAUGAUAUUCUCUCAUAUAACAAGAGAAUGCAAGAAAUAUUCGUAUUUUAUGAAUAUAAUCCAUUUAUUUUUCAAUAUCCAUACGUUUUACUUAGUUUUUUGUACGGUAUUGACAAAAUCCUAUGCAUUUGCAUAAGAUUUAUUUUGCCACAAUUUAUAGUACUACUGCCGCCCUCACUAGGU